rnacentral:lncRNA from 10 species
ACCCCAAGUUUCGCUGCCUUGACACUUUGAGAAGGCUGGAGAUGAUUGCUAGCCCAGAGAACAAUGCUCAAAAGUAGGUUCAGCAUGAGGUCAUCAGGAGGAUGUGUUGGGCUGGGUAACUGUAUUUAACUUAGAAGAUGAGCAAGGGCAAGAACACCACCAUGACCACCUCCAAGGUGACUAUAGACGUCCUGUGAGCCAACACAAUGUCUUCUUCAUUCCUAUGUUCCUCAGACACAGCACAGAGCCACACGAACGGAAGCAUAAAAACAACUUACAAUUCUCAAUUUAGAAGAUCUUACUUUAAUGGGAGCUCAUAUUUAUACUCCUCCCAAGACACACACACAAUAGUCUCUGUACAUACCGUUAAAUUUAGUCCUUUUUUCUUUUUCAAAA